rnacentral:rRNA from 1 species
CCUACGGGUGGCAGCAGUGGGGAAUAUUGCGCAAUGGGCGAAAGCCUGACGCAGCGACGCCGCGUGAGGGAUGAAAGUCUUCGGAUCGUAAACCUCUGUCAGCAGGGAAGAACGGUCACUGUGCUAAUCAGCAGUGAAUUGACGGUACCUGCAAAGGAAGCACCGGCUAACUCCGGGCCAGCAGCCGCGGUAAUAAGGAGGGUGCGAGCGUUAAUCGGAAUUACUUGGCGGAAAUCGCUCGUAGGCGGGUUGUCAAGUCAAGGGUGAAAUCCCCGUGCGCAACGUGGGAACUGCCUUUGAAACUGGCAAACUUGAGUGUGUGAGAGGAUAGUGGAAUUCCAGGUGUAGGAGUGAAAUCCGUAGAUAUCUGGAGGAACAUCAGUGGCGAAGGCGACUAUCUGGCACAUAACUGACGCUGAGGAGCGAAAGCGUGGGUAGCAAACAGGAUUAGAUACCCGAGGAGUC